UACGUAGGGUGCGAGCGUUGUCCGGAAUUAUUGGGCGUAAAGAGCUCGUAGGCGGUGUGUCACGUCGGCCGUGAAAACCUGCAGCUUAACUGUGGGCGUGCGGUCGAUACGGGCAUCACUGGAGUUCGGCAGGGGGAGACUGGAAUUCCUGGUGUAGCGGUGAAAUGCGCAGAUAUCAGGAGGAACACCGGUGGCGAAGGCGGGUCUCUGGGGCCGAUACUGACGCUGAGGAGCGAAAGCGUGGGGAGCGAACAGG
rnacentral:rRNA from 1 species